rnacentral:lncRNA from 10 species
UGAAAUUGAUGAUGAUGUUAUAUUAAGCUUCAUAACAUGGAAAGGUAGCCAACCAUGUACGUAUUAUUGGUUAUCUGAUUAAACAAAUAGCCAAUACUUAAAGAACAGAAAUACUCUACUUUUCCAUCUAAACUGUGGGGAGAUGGGAUACAAAAGAUGGAAGCAAGACAACUAAUGGAAUAAGAAACAGUUGUUGCUUAAUAAAGCCUUCUACUCACAUAGACCAAUGGAACAGAACAGAGACCUCAGAAAUAACACCACACAUCUACAACCAUCUGAUUUUCAGCAAACCUGACAAAAAUAAGCAAUGGGAAAAAGAUCUCCUGUUCAAUAAAUGGUGCUGAGAAAACUGGCUAGCCAUAUGCAGAAAACUGAAACUGGACAACUUCCUUACACCUUAUACAAAAACUAACUCAAGCUGGAUUAAAGACGUAAAUGUGAAACCUCGAAUCAUAAAAACCCUAGAAGAAAACCUAGGUAAUACCAUUCAGGACACAGGCAUAGGCAAAGACUUCAUGACGAUAAUGCCAAAAGCAAUUGCAAUAAAAGCCAAAAUUCACAAACGGGAUCUAAUUAAAUUAAAGAGCUUCUGCUCAGCAAAAGAAACUAUCAUCAGAGUGAACAGGCAACCUACAGAAUGGCAGAAAAUUUUUGCAACUUUCCCAUUUGACAAAAGUCUAAUAUCCAGAAGUUACUAGGAACUCAAACAAAUUUACAAGAAAAAAACAAAUAACCCCAUCAAAAAGCGAGCAAAGGACAUAAACAGACACUUCUCAAAAGAAGACAUUUACAUGGCCAACAAACAUAUAAAAAAAAGUUCAACAUUACCGAUCAUUAGAGAAAUGCAAAUCAAAACCACAAUGAGAUACUAUCUCACACCAGUCAGAAUGACAAUUAUUAAAAUGUAAAGAAACAACAGACGCUGGUGAGGCUGUGGAGAAAUAGGAACACUUUUACACUGUUGGUGGUAAUGUAAUUUAGUUCAACCAUUCUGGAAGACAGUAUGGAGAUUCAUCAAGGAUCCAGAACCAGAAAUACCAUUUGACCCAGCAAUCUCAUUACUAGGUAUAUACCCAAAGGAAUAUAAAUCAUUCUACUAAAAGACACAUGCACACAUAUGUUUACUGCAGCACUAUUUAUAAUAGCAAAGUCAUGGAACCAAUCCAAAUGCCCAUUAAUGAUAGACUAGAUAAAGAAAAGAUGGUACAUAUACACCACGGAAUACUGCACAACCAUAAAAAGGAAUGAGAUCAUGUCCUUUGCAGGGACAUGGGUGAAACUGGAAGCCAUCAUCCUCAGCAAACUAACAUAGGAACAGAAAACCAAACACUGCAUGUUCUCACUCAUAAACGGGAGUUGAACAAUGAGAACAUAUGGACACAGGGAGGGGAACAACACACAUCAGGGCCUGUUGGUGGGUGGGGAGGCAAGGAGAGGGAUCUGUGAGGACAGGUCAAUAGGUGCAGUGAAACACCAUGGGACACGUAUACCUAUGUAACAAAUCUGC